UUUAUUUGUCUUUUGCGGAAAUUUAAUGCUUACUUCAUCAGUUUGUGAUUGCAAUCAAUUUAAACAAACAUGAAAUGAUGUAUAAAUACCCUGGCUUAUUUGUGCAAAAUUUACAAUACAACAGUACGCAGACACAGUGAAAGUUAUAAGCAUUGGUAGGAAUUGCCAAGGCUGACGAUUUGCCAAGCCUCGGACCAUUCGCCACUUGUCAAGCCUUGAUAACUGAGCAUUGGCCCAAGCCUCGUUUUAAGCCUGGAUCAAUGGACAAUCACGCCGCAUCCAAGCUUUGGAAACUGAGCAUGGAGCCCAGCAUGUAUCACAUUCAAGCCUCGUUGCAUUACUAAAUGUUCACGUGUGUGCACUUUUAUAAAUUACAUGUUUGCGUAUAUUUAUUUUUAUACGUUAUAUUUUUUAUAUAACCUGCAAAUAUGUUAUUGAAAGAUACGCAUCUCGUAAACGUGAAAGUGCAACUUCAUAUUAUAAAAAGAAAUCGCUUCAUGCGUAAUAGUACAAAUUGGGAAAACACAAAUAAGGAAGAUGAUUGUUUAAAUGUAAAUGCUGCGAAUAAAUUAGUAGGAGUUAAUGAUCUACAGGUGUUGCUAAUGAGACUCAAACUUCCUUUGCUUCGAUCAAUGGUUCAAGGAUUCUUCUUCUGGUAGUUUUCAAAUUGAAUCAAGAAGUAAUCAGGAUAUAAAGAAGGAUAUACAGUGUAUUAUGGAGAAGCCUAUUGAUUUCUACUCCAAAAUUUUUCAUUGGGUAAUUAACAAUACAGGCAAGUUACCUUCAGCUACGAUCUCUGAGCUUUUGGAGGUUGUAAUUAGUGAAGGACGUCGUGCGUUCACUUCAACAUCUCGUGCUCUUUUAGUGUAUAAAUCUUCUAUAAAUUCCCACAGUGUUUUACACAAGAAUGGAAGUUACGGGCAAUAUUUGUAUGUGGGAAUAUUUAGUGGAUUAGAAAAGCACAUUGCACCUAAAAUAUUAAAAAAAAAACUUCAAUUGUAAUAAAUGUAUUUGUUGAUAACCAACAACAGUGACUAUCAAUGGAGUAACAUAUUCUUUUGAAUAUAUUGCUUUAAUUGCUGAUAAACAAACCCGCGCAUAUUAGAAAUGCAUAAAAGGCCCAACAGCUUAUAUUUGACCUCGAAAUUUAUGAAAUAUGUAAAAAAAUUGGUUUGUACUUUAAUUUAAACUUAAAACUUCCCCCUUUUUUUGUGUCUCAGUACUAAUUUUUGAAAUAGUAUUUUCACUUCUAGAUUUUUUGAUCGCUUUUUCUUUAAUUUACAUUGAUAAAGGAACAGUAAAGGAAAAUUUCGAAUUAAAUUUCGACCAAAAUUUAUACUAUGAUGAUCAGCAAAGACUUAUAUGGACGUAUUUAAAUUUCAUAGCUGCUAAGAAUAAAAUAACAGUAAAUUUAGUAGAGGAGAAAAAAAUACAAAAAAUUAGUAUCAUUAUUGGAGGAAUAUCGCGUACCCCUUUGAUGAGUUUAUUCCAUCGGUUUCUAUUGUCAGGCAAAAAAGAUUGAAUUCCACGGAGUCACGUUUGGAGCCUCGAUUGCGUCAUGGUAACUUUGAAUCUGAAAAACGGAGUCGAUGCCAUGACGGAGAUAGCUAAAACUCUGCCGAAAAAACGUAUAGACCUUGUUAAUUAUAAAACUCCAGAGCUUUAUAAGAACAUCGUAGCCUAAAUUACAUACAUAUUUAUAUAAUUUAUAUAUAUUUAUAUAUAAUUUAGGCUACGAUUUCCUCAUAAAUAUCUGGAAUUUUAUAAUUAACAAGGUCUAUACGUUUUUUCGGCAGAGUUUUAGCUAUUUCCGUCAUGGCAUCGACUCCGUUUCUCAGAUUCAAGUUACCAUUACGCAAUCGAGGCUCCAAACGUGACUCCGUUGAAUUCAAUCUUUUUUGUCUGACAAUAGAAACCGAUGGAAUAAACUCAUCAAAGGGGUACGCGAUAUUCCUCCAAUAAUGAUACUAAUUUUUUGUAUUUUUUUCUCCUCUACUAAAUUUACUGUUAUUUUAUUCUUAGCAGCUAUGAAAUUUAAAUACGUCCAUAUAAGUCUUUGCUGAUCAUCAUAGUAUAAAUUUUGGUCGAAAUUUAAUUCAAAAUUUUCCUUUGCUAUUCCUUUAUCAAUGUAAAUUAAAGAAAAAGCGAUGAAAAAAAUCUGAAAGUGAAAUGAGUAGAUUAUAAUAAUUAUUGAUUCUAUAAGAAAUAAACCAACGUCGGUAUUUGAAGAGUGUAUUUUUAUUGUUUAAUAAAAAAAAAACAUAAUUUGAGAAAUAUUUCAUUUAUUGAACAUCAUAUUAAAGAUUAUCAGAAUAAAAAAAAUUUUAAUUUUUGUGCUUAUUAAUACUAAUUUAUACUCGACGAUGAUAUCUCGGAAAAUUGAAAAAUUAUAAUUUUCUAACUAAGGUAAGUGACCCCUCUAUCGGCCAGUUAAGCGUAUUAUUUUUUUCGAAUUAAGAAUUCAAAUAUCAAAAACCAAUUCAUGUAUAAAAUAGUGAUAGAACCUUGAAGCUUAUACAUAUAACUUGAGAUUAAAAAAAAUAUAUGUAAAAAUAUGUAUUAGAAAUUAAAUAAUAAAUGAAAAUAACUUCAAUUCCGGAUGACCCCUCUCUCGGCCUGCCUAUACCCCCUUUGUCGGCAAUCU